rnacentral:lncRNA from 1 species
GCGUCCACCAACUAGGAGCUUAAUCAAUACAACGUUGUGGCCUCUCUAGCUCAGGGACAUGCCUCUCCCAUGUCUUCUUCUCACACACGAACGUAGCCUGCAAGGAAGACUUAAGAGGCCAAUUAAAAAUAAAGGCUCAUGGCGCAUGGUGAGGAGUUGCCCUUCGUAACCGACGGAAAAGGCUUCAUACAUGAACACGGCUGGACAAGCGACCAGAACAGGUGCUUCCCCAGGAUGUCCAGAAACAAGCAGAGACCGUGAAGGACAUUUAACCUCACCACCCAUUCUAUGUGUGCUCAUGAAAACAAGAUUCCAUUGUUGGCUGUCAGAUUGGCAAAGAUUAAUACUAGCCAAUGUUAGCAAAGAUAUGAAAAAAUGGGCCAUUACAGUUCCUGAUUACAUAAACAUUUCUGUGGGUCAGUUUGGCAGUUUGAA